rnacentral:rRNA from 1 species
CCUACGGGUGGCAGCAGUGAGGAAUAUUGGUCAAUGGGCGGGAGCCUGAACCAGCCAAGCCGCGUGAGGGAAGAAGGUACAGCGUAUCGUAAACCUCUUUUGUCAGGGAACAAAGGCGGGGACUAGUCCCAGGAUGAGGGUACCUGAAGAAAAAGCAUCGGCUAACUCCGUGCCCGAAGCCGCGGUAAUCCGGAGGAUGCCAGAGUUAUCCAGAUUUAUGGGGUUUAAUGGGUGCGCAGGCGGCCUGUUAAGUCAGCGGUAAAAGCCCGGGGGUCAACCCCGGCGAGCCGGUGAAACUGGCGGUCUGGAGUGGGAGAGAAGUACGCGGAAUGCGCGGGGUAGCGGUGAAAUGCUUAGAUAUCGCGCAGAACCCCGAUUGCGAAGGCAGCGUACCGGCUCCACACUGACGCUGAGGCACGAAAGCGUGGGUAUCGAACAGGAUUAGAUAACCGUGUAGUC